GGGAAUUCAGCACAGAAGGCGGAACUGAUUGCAUUAACCAGGGCUUUGCAAUUAGCUGAAGGGCUGAGAUUGAAUAUCUACACUGAUUCGAAGUAUGCUUUUCUAACCACCCAUGCACAUGGAACAUUGUAUAAAGAAAGGGGAUUGCUGAAUUCAGAAGGAAAAGAGAUCAAGUAUGCGGCUGAAAUACUCCAACUGUUAGAGGCGGUAUGGGAACCGAAGGAAGUCAGUAUUAUACACUGUAGAGCACAUCUGAUGGGUGAUAGUGAUGUCAUCAAAGGAAAUCGCACGGCCGACAACGCAGCAAAAUAUGUCGCUGAAUCUGGGCAAGAGGAAUAUGUGGGAUAUGUCGCAGCCCUUGUACUGGCACCUCUGUCUCAAUGGACUCCAAUAUAUGCAACCCAAGAGAUGGAGUGGUUGAAAACUGAAGCUGGGAAAUAUCUGGAGAAUAACUGGUAUCAGUUAGAAGAUGGAAGAAUAGUUAUUCCGACAUCUCUGGCUAUAGAGAUUGUUCAAAACUUUCAUAAUGGUACACAUACUGGAAGAGAUAGUAUGGAAGAAUCUCUUAGGAAACAUUUCUAUAUACCAAGGUUAUCUAGUCUGAAUCAAGCCAUAGUUCGGAGAUGUGUUUUGUGUGCCCAAAAUAAUGCAAGACAAGGCCCUGUCAAACCCCCUGGAGUUCAGUAUAUGGGAGGACUCCCAAUGUCAGAUUUGCCAAUAGAUUACACUGUGAUGCCUAAAUCUGGGGGAUAUCGUUAUUUGUUGGUAGCUGUGUGCACCUACUCAGGCUGGGUAGAAGCUUGUCCAACUCGUACAGAAAAGGCAGGAGAAGUUCUACGAUUUCUGUUGCGAGAAGUUAUACCCAGAUAUGGACUUCCGUGUUCUAUAGGAUCAGAUAAUGGCCCAGCCUUUAUUCAUCAGUGUUUGCAACAACUAACUCGUGCUUGGUAUCAAGUGGAAACUUCAUACAGCCUAUAGACCUCAGAGUUCUGGAAAGGUGGAAAGGAUGAACUGAACAAUACAAACCCAGUUGGCUAAAAUGUGUCAGGAAACUCAGCUCAAGUGGAAUGUCCUUUUGCCAAUAGCUUUGUUGCGAAUACGUAGUACGCCUACCAGAAGGAUGGGUUUGUCUCCCUUUGAAAUUAUGUAUGGGCGUCCACCUCCCAUAUUAAGUAAUCUAAGGGGGAACUUAAAUCACUUGGGUGAAGGAAUUACUUGGCAGCAGGUUGUAGAGUUGGGUAAAACUAUGGAGAAGGUGCAGAAAUGGGUGCAAGAUAGGUUACCUGUGAACAUAUAUCAUUCCUAUCAACCAGGAGAUCAAGUGUGGCUAAAAGAAUUGAAUAUUGUUCCAUUAGGUCAAAAGUGGAGGGGUCCUUAUGUUGUUCUUUUAUCUACCCCAACAGCUGUAAAGGUGGCAGAGGUGACUCCAUGGAUUCAUCAUUCUAGGGCAAGCUAUCCCAGAUCCUGAGAAUCCUUGCAAGAUCCGGUU